UACGUAGGUGGCAAGCGUUGUUCGGAAUUAUUGGGCGUAAAGGGCGCGUAGGCGGUUUGCUAAGUCAGUUGUGAAAGCCCGGGGCUCAACCCCGGAGAGUCGGCUGAUACUGGUGGACUAGAGUACGGAAGAGGUAGCUGGAAUUCCCGGUGUAGCGGUGAAGUGCGUAGAUAUCGGGAGGAACACCUGAGGCGAAGGCGGGCUACUGGGCCGAUACUGACGCUGAGGCGCGAAAGCCAGGGGAGCAAACGGG
rnacentral:rRNA from 1 species